rnacentral:rRNA from 1 species
CCUACGGGUGGCAGCAGUGGGGAAUAUUGUACAAUGGGGGAAACCCUGAUGCAGCGACGCCGCGUGAAGGAAGAAGUAUUUCGGUAUGUAAACUUCUAUCAGCAGGGAAGAAAAUGACGGUACCUGACUAAUAAGCCCCGGCUAAAUACGUGCCAGCAGCCGCGGUAAUACGUAGGGGGGAAGCGUUAUCCGGAUUUACGGGGUGUAAAGGGAGCGUAGGCGGUGAUGCAAGUCAGAAAGGAAAGCCCGCAGCUCAACUGCGGGACUGCUUUGGAAACUGUAUGACUAGAUUGCAGGAGAGGUAAGUGGAAUUCCUAGUGUAGCGGUGAAAUGCGUAGAUAUUAGGAGGAACACCAGUGGCGAAGGCGGCUUACUGGACUGUAAAUGACGCUGAGGCUCGAAAGCGUGGGGAGCAAACAGGAUUAGAUACCCCAGUAGUC